rnacentral:rRNA from 1 species
UGGGGAAUUUUGGACAAUGGGCGAAAGCCUGAUCCAGCAAUGCCGCGUGUGUGAAGAAGGCCUUCGGGUUGUAAAGCACUUUUGUCCGGAAAGAAGUCCUUGGCUCUAAUACAGUCGGGGGGAUGACGGUACCGGAAGAAUAAGCACCGGCUAACUACGUGCCAGCAGCCGCGGUAAUACGUAGGGUGCAAGCGUUAAUCGGAAUUACUGGGCGUAAAGCGUGCGCAGGCGGUUUGCUAAGACCGAUGUGAAAUCCCCGGGCUCAACCUGGGAACUGCAUUGGUGACUGGCAGGCUAGAGUAUGGCAGAGGGGGGUAGAAUUCCACGUGUAGCAGUGAAAUGCGUAGAGAUGUGGAGGAAUACCGAUGGCGAAGGCAGCCCCCUGGGCCAAUACUGACGCUCAUGCACGAAAGCGUGGGGAGCAAACAGGAUUAGAUACCCUGGUAGUCCACGCCCUAAACGAUGUCAACUAGUUGUUGGGGAUUCAUUUCCUUAGUAACGUAGCUAACGCGUGAAGUUGACCGCCUGGGGAGUACGGUCGCAAGAUUAAAACUUAAAGGAAUUGACGGGGUCAUAGCUGUUUCCU